UCACUUUUGAAGAAAAAGUAC
rnacentral:piRNA from 1 species